rnacentral:rRNA from 1 species
GAGCGAUGAAGGCCUUCGGUCGUAAAGCUCUGUGGGGGAGGAGAAGAAUAAAGCCUGUGAAGAAUGGGCCUUGACGGUAUCUCCUUAGCAAGCACCGGCUAACUCCGUGCCAGCAGCCGCGGUAAUACGGAGGGUGCAAACGUUGCUCGGAAUCAUUGGGCGUAAAGCGCACGUAGGCGGCGAAGCAAGUCGGGUGUGAAAGCCCUGGGCUCAACCCAGGAAGUGCAUUCGAAACUAUUUCGCUUGAAUCUCGGAGGGGGUCAGAGAAUUCCCGGUGUAGAGGUGAAAUUCGUAGAUAUCGGGAGGAAUACCAGUGGCGAAGGCGCUGACCUGGACGAAGAUUGACGCUGAGGUGCGAAAGCGCGGGGAGCAAACAGGAUUAGAUACCCUGGUAGUCCGCGCUGUAAACGAUGAGUGCUAGACGGUGGAGGUAUUGACCCCUUCGCUGCCGAAGCUAACGCGUUAAGCACUCCGCCUGGGGAGUACGGUCGCAAGACUAAAAAC